AUUGAACGCUGGCGGCAUGCCUUACACAUGCAAGUCGAACGGUAACAGGUCUUCGGAUGCUGACGAGUGGCGAACGGGUGAGUAAUACAUCGGAACGUGCCCGAUCGUGGGGGAUAACGAGGCGAAAGCUUUGCUAAUACCGCAUACGAUCUACGGAUGAAAGCGGAGGAUCUUCGGACCUCGCGCGGACGGAGCGGCCGAUGGCAGAUUAGGUAGUUGGUGGGAUAAAAGCUUACCAAGCCGACGAUCUGUAGCUGGUCUGAGAGGAUGAUCAGCCACACUGGGACUGAGACACGGCCCAGACUCCUACGGGAGGCAGCAGUGGGGAAUUUUGGACAAUGGGCGAAAGCCUGAUCCAGCCAUGCCGCGUGCAGGAUGAAGGCCUUUGGGUUGUAAACUGCUUUUGUACGGAACGAAAAGCCUCUUUCUAAUAAAGAGGGGUCAUGACGGUACCGUAAGAAUAAGCACCGGCUAACUACGUG
rnacentral:rRNA from 1 species